rnacentral:rRNA from 1 species
CGGCCGCGGUAUUUUGACCGUGCAAAGGUAGCGCAAUCACUUGUCUUUUAAAUAAAGACCUGUAUGAAUGGCAUAACGAGGGCUUAACUGUCUCCUUUUCCCUAUCAAUGAAAUUGAUCUCCUCGUGCAGAAGCGGGGAUUAAAACAUAAGACGAGAAGACCCUAUGGAUCUUUAGCCGCAAGAAUAGAACAUAACUUAAUCAUUUACACACUAAAUGAAAUACCAUGAAACCUGUUCAAGUGUCUUUGGUUGGGGCGACCACGGAGUAUAUUAUAACCUCCUUAAGGAAUGAAGGUAUUCUUCCGAUCCUAGUGUGACAACACUAAGAAAUAGAAAUUCUAACCAUAAUGAUCGCAAAGCCGAUCAACGAACCGAGUUACCCUAGGGAUAACAGCGCAAUCCUCUUCUAGAGCCCCUAUCGACAAGGGGGUUUACGACCUCG